rnacentral:rRNA from 1 species
GGACCUCAGGUCAGGCGGGGCUACCCGCUGAGUUUAAGCAUAUCAAUAAGCGGAGGAAAAGAAACUAACAAGGAUUCCCUUAGUAACGGCGAGCGAACCGGGAAGAGCCCACCAUGAGAAUCGGUCGCCCUCGGCGUCUGAAUUGUAGUCUGAAGAAGCGUCAA